CCGCCUGGGGAGUACGGCCGCAAGGUUAAAACUCAAAUGAAUUGACGGGGGCCCGCACAAGCGGUGGAGCAUGUGGUUUAAUUCGAUGCAACGCGAAGAACCUUACCUGGUCUUGACAUCCACGGAAGUUUUCAGAGAUGAGAAUGUGCCUUCGGGAACCGUGAGACAGGUGCUGCAUGGCUGUCGUCAGCUCGUGUUGUGAAAUGUUGGGUUAAGUCCCGCAACGAGCGCAACCCUUAUCCUUUGUUGCCAGCGGUCCGGCCGGGAACUCAAAGGAGACUGCCAGUGAUAAACUGGAGGAAGGUGGGGAUGACGUCAAGUCAUCAUGGCCCUUACGACCAGGGCUACACACGUGCUACAAUGGCGCAUACAAAGAGAAGCGACCUCGCGAGAGCAAGCGGACCUCAUAAAGUGCGUCGUAGUCCGGAUUGGAGUCUGCAACUCGACUCCAUGAAGUCGGAAUCGCUAGUAAUCGUGGAUCAGAAUG
rnacentral:rRNA from 1 species